rnacentral:rRNA from 1 species
CCUACGGGGGGCAGCAGUGGGGAAUAUUGGGCAAUGGGCGCAAGCCUGACCCAGCAACGCCGCGUGAAGGAAGAAGGCUUUCGGGUUGUAAACUUCUUUUCUCAGGGACGAAGCAAGUGACGGUACCUGAGGAAUAAGCCACGGCUAACUACGUGCCAGCAGCCGCGGUAAUACGUAGGUGGCAAGCGUUAUCCGGAUUUACUGGGUGUAAAGGGCGUGUAGGCGGGAAAGCAAGUCAGAUGUGAAAACCAUGGGCUCAACCUGUGGCCUGCAUUUGAAACUGUUUUUCUUGAGUACUGGGGAGUCAGACGGAAUUCCUAGUGUAGCGGUGAAAUGCGUAGAUAUUAGGAGGAACACCAGUGGCGAAGGCGGUCUGCUGGACAGCAACUGACGCUGAGGCGCGAAAGCGUGGGGAGCAAACAGGAUUAGAUACCCCAGUAGUC